rnacentral:lncRNA from 1 species
UUUUUUGGAUGCUCAGAAUGCAGAAAAUAGCAUUUCACGGUUUCAAAUUUCAAACAUUUUCUUGGGAUUAUCCCUCUAAUAAGUAAUGAUAAAUUACAGUUAAUAUUCUUUUUUACUUUUUGUGCAUUUUUCCAUCUUUUAUUUCAAAUACAACUAUAGUUAGCAUAAAUUUUAGAGCAAAUUUGGAUGCUCAGAAUGCAGGAAAUGGCAUUUCCGUGGUUCAAAUUUCAAAAUUUUUCUGGGGGAGUACACCCCCACACACCUAACUAUUGCUAUCCUCCUCUAAUAAGUAAUGAUAAAUGAUGGUCAAUUUUUUUUUACUUUUUGUGUGUUUCUUCCUUUAUUUAUUUCAAAUACAAGUAUAGUUAGGAUAAAUUUUGGAGCAAAUUUGGAUGCUCAGAAUGCAGGAAAUGAGUUUCCGGGAGUCAAAUUUCAAAAAUUUUCUGGGGAGUACACCCCCAGACCCCCCAUUCAUGCGUGGUAUAUUUGCCACACACGUGGCUUUCAGCCAUUGCUAUCCCCCUCUAAUAUAUUAUCUCACAGAAAGGUCCCUUUUCAAAAAAUCCCCCCCCCCACGGGAAAAGCCUUAAAAAAGGCCCUGUUAUAAAAUAGUAAUUUUUAGAGCAUUUUGGAACGAUGGAAGGCCUAUUUUUAAAAAGCACAGUGAGUUAUCAGAGUUACUUAUAUAUAGAUUAGUUUUAGAGUGAAAGUUUGAGUGCAAAAUUCUGUUGCAGUUAGGCGUAAAAUAAUACUCAUUUUCUGUUCAGCGCGGCCGCGUGACUUUUAACUGCAUGUGCGCGUCAACGUAUUUUUAUAGUAGAUCUCAUUUCAUUCUAUUAAACCUAUAAAAUUUGUUUAAAUAUUAAAAAUAUAAUAUUAGAAAAGUUUAAUAUUAUAGGGAUAAAAAAAUCAUUACACACUUUAUAGAAACUAGAAAAUCACUCGCCCAGUUUUGAAAAACAGCCCCUCCUUCAUUAACAUCCUGUUUCUUAACCCUCCUUAACCGCCCCUGAAUACUGGGUUUUGAAGUAGUGUGAAUAUGAAUAUUGAUGGUAGGAAUAUGGAUCUUGAUGGUAGGAAUGUGAAUAUUAAGAGUAGUGGACAAGUCGUCGACAUGUUGUUUCGGAAUGUAUAGCCUAUAGGUAGGAAUAAUAAUUUGCAGUCGGCCUGGCUGACCAAUAGCGCUAAGGCUAGUUAAACCACGAGUCUCUCACUUUUAAGCACAUACAGACUUUCCCAAAGUCCUUUCUCUUUGUUUAUAUAAUUAGCAACAAAAACAAUGAAUCAGUCGAGGAAGUAAUUUGCGAAAUAGUGAGUAGGCCUAGACAGAUUGUGCAAGUAAAAGCUGCUCCAAAAAAAGUUUCUCCAAAAAAAAGUUGCUCAAAAGAAAAACGUUCUAUAUCUAAAAUGUCGCUCUUAAAAUUAAGUGUUUCUAAGCACAGGAAUUGUUUGGUUGCCUGCUUUAUUGGCUUAUUACAUCAACCCACAUCACGCGUACAGUUAUUUCAAACUUCAACGAGCAUGUAGCCUAUAUACGUCUGUUACAAGUAGAAUUAUCCCCCCCCUGCCCCAUAGGGACCAAAGGGAUGCGGCCGGGCGCACGCGUGACUCCCGCAUUGCAAACGGAGUGAAAUAGGAUAAUACUAUAAAGCGGAACCGAAUUACAUAAACACACAGAUUACACAGAUUAUUUUUUUGUCAGAUAUCUAUUAUUUCGAGUAUUUUAUUACUCUUUAAACGUAUAUGUAGAAUUAAUAAGAUUUAUUCAGUUCGAACAUUUCUAAGAUAAUAUCGCGACAAUAAUUUUAAUCAUUGCUUUGGCUCGUCUGCAUGUGGGAUUUCUCUGACCUAUAGAUCGCCCGCUUCAUGACUAUCAUGACAAUGACAACUCUGACUAUGACUAUGACUAUGAUUACAUGACUAUUAUACUAUGACUAUAUACUCCCAAGCCUUGAAAUAAAUAUUUUCAGCUGACGAACACUUUGUCCGGCAACUUUUUUGGUGCGCCGGACAAAAUUCCCGGACAUUAUGUUCCAGAUUUUGACAGCGCCGCACUAUGCGUAGUAAUCAGUAAUGACUUAUGUUAGAACGCUUACGUAUACGACAUAGUUAUCGCCGAACAUUUUAUGUGGCAAUAAAAAUCUAUCGGCGGACAAAAUGUCCGGCGGAUCGAACAUUUUGCCGGACAAAACCGAUUUUUGACGUUUUCAGCCGGACAAACGUCCGAUGUCCGGCGCUAUUUCAAGGCUUGACACCAAUGGGAUGUUUGGGAGUACUCCAUUGGGAUGUGUGGGGGUACCCGAAUGGGGUGUUUGUUUACUAUACAACUAUGGCUAUAUAUGACUACAUAACUAUAUGACUACAAUAUAUGACUACAUGAUUUUGACUAUAUGACUAUGACUACAUGACUAUGAUGACAUGACUAUAACUAUAUUGUCUAUAUAACUAUAUGAUAAUAUGGCUGACUGCAUGAUUGACUAUAUGACUAUUACUGUAUGAUUAUAGGCUAUUCUCCUCCUCCCCCCUCUGGUCUUCUCCUACAAACAUAACCACAUUUUCGCUACCGUUUUGGCUCGAAACGUAAAUGAACAAGUCGUCCUCUCGCUUGCGACUUCAUCGCUCGCAUUUGUCAGGUUUUUCUUCUGAUUUCAUUUCUCAACCAAAUUUAGUAGAGGUCGACUUGGAGUAAGUCUAUUAAGCACAUUGCCUGCAAUCCGUCAAGAUAUUACACAACUGCCUCACCCAACCACCCAACAAAAUAUCUAUAUGUCUGUAUGCCUGGUACCCAACCAACCCACCGACCCACAUCCUUCUUUUUGUAUUUUUUUAGGUUAGUGUUAUCAUGAUAGCAAUGAAUGCAGGAUAGCAUGAAUGCGUGGAUAGCAUUAUGUAUGCAUGAUAGCAGUAACUCUGUAACUGUAUAAUAACAUUGAAUACAUGAUAGCAGUGAAUGUGUGAUAGCAAUCACACAUUCCAUUGCUUUAUGCGAGUGACCUCUUUCCCUUGAAUUUCUUCAACUGUCACUAAUUUUUUUCUUCUUAAAAUUUAACAUGCUAGUACAAAAAGGCUAUUUUGGCGAACUAUCAGUAAAGAUGGCUUGCACACAAAAAUGCGAGGUUCAAAACGAACUAUCAUAAUCAAAGUAUGAACAAUUUGUUGUUACAAGUAAUCCACCGCUUGGCCGCCAAAUUUAAACUUGGACGUUUUGGGAUUUUCAACAUAAAUUGAAGAAUUAAUCAACAUGAAAUCAAUCAGUCCGGGAAAGACUUAUAAAUAAAUGUACAUAUUUUCUCGUUCUUUGUAAAAAUAAAAAACAGCUGUUUGGCACUUGGGAGUUUAAUUAGAGUACACUUUCAGACAAACAAACAGUAAAGUAGCUUAUAGGGAUUGCUGUUGCUUCGCAAAGGUGUGCAGAAUUUAAAUAUAAACAUGGAUCUUGCUUUGGUACGCAAAGAUCGAACAAACGUCACUGUCCAACAUAAACAAUAUCGCUUAUGUCCUUGAAUGCGAUGUUAACAACACUUACUAUAUCACAUGAAGAAAUACUGAAAUAGUAUGUGAAAAACACGAACAUAUACUGUAUAUAUAUUACAUAUUUUCAUAUAUAUCUCGCAAGCAGAGAAUUCCAAGAAAAUUCUGCCGGUAGCAGCUGGGUUUCGAACCCGCGCGAUCUUCUAAAUGCAAGCUCGACUCUCUUCUAAGGGACCGGUCAUAAAGUAGAGGGGGGGGUGGGCUAUGAAAAAUUGGGGGUGGGUCACUAUUUUUCAACACGUCGAAAAGGGUGGGUCAGGAAAAUUUAUGCACUGCAUUAGGGGUGGGUCAGGUAAAAUUAUUCACGUCUCACAAUUUAAUAAAUAGCAAAUAAAAACUUUUGCGAAAUCUCUUUAACCUAUUAACUUUAUAUAUUAAGCACAGGGGCGAAACUAGCCCCUUUUAAUUAGGGGGUGUCUGGCAGAAUUGCCCUGCCAAAACCAGUGAUGCCCUGCCAAAAAGUACCAAAAAAUUUUUUCCGGAAAAAUUAUUUUGGCGACCUCCCCGAUCGAAUAUUGCCCCCGCCCGGUACGCCUAUGUGCUAUCAUUUAUUUAUAAGAGACCUUUGAUUGCCCUGCCAAUCGGGACGAUUCGUAUUUUGGGGGGUGUAACACCCCCCCCACACCCCCCCUUAAGUUUCGCCCCUGAUUAAACAACAGGAAUUCACAUUUGUAUACAGUACAUUGGGAAGUGUUCUAGUUACCGUAGUCUACUCAAUGUCAGGGCCGUAGCAACCGGGGGGCUGGGGGGCUGCAGCCCCCCCAAUAAUUCGCUAAUAAUCAUUCUUUUUUCAAAAUCAUGCAAACUUUAUCAUUUAAUCUGUGACAAACUGCAAAGAAUGAAGAUAUUACUCAUACUCCAGAUCGUUCCUCGCGUAGAAAUUUUAGCUGAAUUUCUGUCGCGCAUUUUCAAGAAAAUCCCACAAAAUCUGCACAUUUUGAUGAACUAAUGAUUUAUUUUGUCUUUUGCGUGUUGGGUCUUGCGAAAGAAAACUCUGAAAAUGCCAUUUCAGACCAUCUAGAGACUCCAGAUUUUCGAAAUUUUCUCAAAUGUUCUGCCUUCAUUUCCGCGCAACUGCCAUUUACGACGAAAAUUCCCGCCGUGCAUUUAUAAUACUACAGUCUGGCCCAUACUUUCCUGUAAAUUUCGACAUACUAAAACGCUGUUUUCUGACUAUCAGAAUUCUGUUAAAUCUUCCCCCAAAGUCCAGGAAAUGGCAUUUUAGAGACUCUAAAUUUAAAAAUUUGCUCGGGCCUUCGGCCCUCGCUUUCAGCCCCCCCAAUCGAAAAGAGCUUCCUACGGCCCUGAAUGUACUGUCAUGCAUUAUGUUUGGACAUAGUUGAAUUAUGUUCAAGAGUCGGGCGGCGUGUUACAACAUUUCAAUCUCGGAGAUUUUUCGGGGAUUCUGCCUAAACUAGUAAAGAAUCGUGGUAAGCCAAUGCUGCCAACGUACGCGCACCUAUCUACAUUACCGUACAGUACAUUAUCUACAUGACGGGGGGGGUCACUAAGAUUUCUGCUCUAAUCUAGGGGUGGGCCACCUCAAUUUAUUGUCACAAUUUGGGGGUGGGUCACUGUAAACCAGUCUUUAAAAAAUCAAUUUUCAUAGCCCCCCCCCCCCCCCUCUACUUUAUGACCGGUCCCUAACUGAGCUACAUACGGUCAAAGGCCGAUAAAGGACAGGAAAUUAUGAAUUCGAACUUUGUACUUAAAAUUGUAAAAUACUAGUUCUGCGAGUGCCAUAUGAUGAUAUACACUCACUUCAUGCAUCCUAUCAUAUUACAGAGUGAACAAUAUCACAACAUCAUAUAUUUAACCACUGUUGGUCACAUAACCACUGUAAUGCUAAACAGACGUGCUCGAUAUCACAUAGAUAGAGCUAAAGGUUGCCAAAUGCAACUAUACCUACAAGGAAAACCGAAAACGUCGACGUUUCGAGCGAAGGCCGCCAAGAGGAAUCAUCAGGUGAUUCCUCGGUGAUUAUACAUUUGUACGCCUUUUCGGGGUUCACAAUGUAAUUGGGGCAAACACAAUGGUAAAACUAUUGCCUCGUCCCAAUGGGAAUUUUUGUGACGACACUAUAGGGUCAUGCUAUUAUUGCUCUAAUUGUGUUUGCCCCACUCGGCAAAGGCGUAUUGUCGAAAUUCGCACCUUCAUUGUGUGAAAGUCCAAUGGCCAAAUAUGUAAUCAUAACCACAGAUCCAGCAAGCAUGAACACACCAGCGGCAAUCAUAUAUAUACGAAAGCAUUGUGAACUUAUCACACGCUUUACAUCACGGUAAACAGAACGAUUUGCUUGGACAUAGAGUAAUGCAACGAACGCGGAUAUGGCUGCCCAAACAGCCGCAUUUAUGUUGUCAUAUUUCGUAGCAAACACAGCACAGCCACAUAUCCCGGCAGACAUACCAAUUACACCAUGAACUACCUUAAGAACAAUCCUCACUUUACUUUCCAUUGCGUUUUUGAAAUAUCUUCUCAACUAUUUUAAAUUACCUAUACUUCGUGAUCGGCCAGCACUCAAACCAAAAUAACAAAUAAAACUAUAAAUCCUGUUCUUACAAUAUAUACUCGCUUGAAACUUG